GAUGAACGCUGGCGGCGUGCCUAAUACAUGCAAGUCGAGCGAACGGACGAGAAGCUUGCUUUUCUGAUGUUAGCGGCGGACGGGUGAGUAACACGUGGAUAACCUACCUAUAAGACUGGGAUAACUUCGGGAAACCGGAGCUAAUACCGGAUAAUAUUUUGAACCGCAUGGUUCAAAAGUGAAAGACGGUCUUGCUGUCACUUAUAGAUGGAUCCGCGCUGCAUUAGCUAGUUGGUAAGGUAACGGCUUACCAAGGCAACGAUGCAUAGCCGACCUGAGAGGGUGAUCGGCCACACUGGAACUGAGACACGGUCCAGACUCCUACGGGAGGCAGCAGUAGGGAAUCUUCCGCAAUGGGCGAAAGCCUGACGGAGCAACGCCGCGUGAGUGAUGAAGGUCUUCGGAUCGUAAAACUCUGUUAUUAGGGAAGAACAUAUGUGUAAGUACCUGUGCACAUCUUGACGGUACCUAAUCAGAAAGCCACGGCUAACUACGU
rnacentral:rRNA from 1 species